GGAUGUGAGGGCUCUCUGACUACCCCCUCUUUCACCCCACUAGUCACCAGCACUGAUUCAACUGACAUGGUUGACUAGGUGGCUGUCACCUUCCUGCUUCUGAAGCUGAGUCCUCUGUAGAAGAGCAUGGCCACUCAUGAAUAGAAGACUACCUGUCUUUGGUUAAGGGUAUAAGAGAGGCUCUGCUUCCAGAUAAGCUCUCAUUAAAUAAAACAAUAAACACAGUUACAAGUUUAUAAUUUUAAAAUGU
rnacentral:snRNA from 1 species